GUACAUCAAGAAAACAUGGAGAGAAAAUUGUCAAAAAUGGUUUUUCUAUUUGCCUUAUUUCUUAUUUCAACUGGUUUGUUGUUGUUAACCUUCUCCAUCUCCAUCUCCUUUCUCUUAUUUUCCUCUUUUUCAAAUAAAAUACAAACACAUUUUCCUAGUAAGAUAUUCAACCUGUAAUUUUAGCUUACAGAGUGAUUUGAAUCUGUUGUAACAAGUAAUUAACACGUGUCAUUUUCUAAGUUACUAUUUCAAUUUUCUUAUGAAUAUAAUUAUGUGUAAUUAUUUCUUAAAUGAAUUUCUGUAUAUAAAAGUUAAAUUCAUUAUAUGUGUGUGCAGAUUCAAUGUUGCAGACUGCAGGGAAAUCAUGCAACAGUAAUCCUGAUUGUCUCAAGACUUGUGCUCCAACGUUGUUGCCUGUCUGUCUUCAACACAUAUGCGUUUGUGUGCACGUUGAGAACAAGAACAACGGCGUUGAACAUAAAAAGUUUGCAAGACGUAUGAUGACUGAAAAUAUUGAUCUUCGCCAAACUUCAUGAAUUUAAUUAAAUUAUUGAUAGUAAUUUAUAUGGUGG
rnacentral:lncRNA from 1 species